rnacentral:rRNA from 1 species
AGUGAACGCUGGCGGUAGGCCUAACACAUGCAAGUCGAACGGCAGCACAGUAAGAGCUUGCUCUUACGGGUGGCGAGUGGCGGACGGGUGAGGAAUACAUCGGAAUCUACUUUUUCGUGGGGGAUAACGUAGGGAAACUUACGCUAAUACCGCAUACGACCUACGGGUGAAAGCAGGAGAUCUUCGGACCUUGCGCGAUUGAAUGAGCUGAUGUCGGAUUAGCUAGUUGGCGGGGUAAAGGCCCACCAAGGCGACGAUCCGUAGCUGGUCUGAGAGGAUGAUCAGCCACACUGGAACUGAGACACGGUCCAGACUCCUACGGGAGGCAGCAGUGGGGAAUAUUGGACAAUGGGCGAAAGCCUGAUCCAGCCAUGCCGCGUGGGUGAAGAAGGCCUUCGGGUUGUAAAGCCCUUUUGUUGGGAAAGAAAAGCAGCAUGUUAAUCCCCCGCUGUCCUGACGGUACCUAAAGAAUAAGCAACGGCUAACUUCGUG